rnacentral:rRNA from 1 species
UGGGGAAUAUUGCACAAUGGGCGCAAGCCUGAUGCAGCAACGCCGCGUGAGGGACGACGGCCUUCGGGUUGUAAACCUCUUUUGGCAGGGAAGAAGCGAAAGUGACGGUACCUGCAGAAAAAGCACCGGCUAACUACGUGCCAGCAGCCGCGGUGAUACGUAGGGUGCAAGCGUUGUCCGGAAUUAUUGGGCGUAAAGAGCUCGUAGGCGGGUUGUCGCGUCUGCUGUGAAAACCCGAGGCUCAACCUCGGGCCUGCAGUGGGUACGGGCAAACUAGAGUGCGGUAGGGGAUAUUGGAAUUCCUGGUGUAGCGGUGGAAUGCGCAGAUAUCAGGAAGAACACCGAUGGCGAAGGCAGAUCUCUGGGCCGUAACUUACGCUGAGGAGCGAAAGCAUGGGGAGCGAACA